rnacentral:rRNA from 1 species
GAUGAACGCUGGCGGCGUGCCUAAUACAUGCAAGUCGAGCGAACGGACGAGAAGCUUGCUUCUCUGAUGUUAGCGGCGGACGGGUGAGUAACACGUGGAUAACCUACCUAUAAGACUGGGAUAACUUCGGGAAACCGGAGCUAAUACCGGAUAAUAUUUUGAACCGCAUGGUUCAAAAGUGAAAGACGGUCUUGCUGUCACUUAUAGAUGGAUCCGCGCUGCAUUAGCUAGUUGGUAAGGUAACGGCUUACCAAGGCAACGAUGCAUAGCCGACCUGAGAGGGUGGUCGGCCACACUGGAACUGAGACACGGUCCAGGCUCCUACGGGAGGCAGCAGUAGGGAAUCUUCCGCAAUGGGCGAAAGCCUGACGGAGCAACGCCGCGUGAGUGAUGAAGGUCUUCGGAUCGUAAAACUCUGUUAUUAGGGAAGAACAUAUGUGUAAGUAACUGUGCACAUCUUGACGGUACCUAAUCAGAAAGCCACGGCUAACUACGUG